rnacentral:ncRNA from 2 species
CCCUCUUGAUCGGGAGAGGGCAGACACGCGCUGCCGCCGAAGGGGCAUCACCCAAAAACUCUCAGGCAAAAGGACCGGUCAGGGGUC